GGCGGAGUAGCUCAGUUGGUUAGAGCAGCGGAAUCAUAAUCCGCGUGUCGGGGGUUCGAUUCCCUCCUCCGCUACCA
rnacentral:tRNA from 1 species